UACGAGGGGGGCAAGCGUUGUUCGGAAUUAUUGGGCGUAAAGGGUGCGUAGGUGGGGUCUCAAGUCUGGUUUGAAAGUUAGCUGCUCAACAGUUAGACGUGGCUGGAAACUGGGAUUCUGGAAUGGGUUGGCGGCUGCCGGAACGGGUCAUGUAGCGGUGAAAUGCAUAGAUAUGACCCAGAACACCGAUUGCGAAGGCAGGCAGCUACGACUUGAUUGACACUGAGGCACGAGAGCAUGGGUAGCGAACAGG
rnacentral:rRNA from 1 species